rfam:TPA: Bos taurus chromosome 8, whole genome shotgun sequence.
UCCCUGGUGGCUUAGAUGGUAAAGAAUCUGCCUGCAAUGCAGGAGACCUAGGUUCAAUCCUUGGGUCGGGAA